rnacentral:misc_RNA from 1 species
GAUGAAGAACGUAGCGAAAUGCGAUACUUGGUGUGAAUUGCAGAAUCCCGUGAUCCAUCGAGUCUUUGAACGCAAGUUGCGCCCGAAGCCAUCAGGUUGAGGGCACGUCUGCCUGGGCGUCACAUAUCGUUGCCCAAUGCCUAUUGCAGUGCAAUAGGAAUUUCUAGGGCGAAUGAUGGCUUCCCGUGAGCGUUGUUGCCUCGCGGUUGGUUGAAAAUCGAGUCCUUGGUAGGGUGUGCCAUGGUAGAUGGUGGUCGAGUUAGAACGAUACCGAUCAUGUGCAUGCUCCCCAAAAUAUGGCCUCUAUGACCCACACGCGUCUUUUGACGCUCAUGACGAGACCUCAGGUCAGGCGGGGCUACCCGCUGAAUUUAAGCAUAUCAAUAAGCGGAGGA